UACGUAGGGGGCGAGCGUUGUCCGGAUUUAUUGGGCGUAAAGAGCGUGUAGGCGGCCAGGUAGGUCUGCUGUGAAAACUGGAGGCUCAACUUCCAGACGUCGACGGAAACCGUGUGGCUAGAGUCCGGAAGAGGAGAGUGGAAUUCCUGGUGUAGCGGUGAAAUGCGCAGAUAUCAGGAAGAACACCAAUGGCGAAGGCAGCUCUCUGGGACGGUACUGACGCUGAGACGCGAAAGCGUGGGGAGCGAACAGG
rnacentral:rRNA from 1 species